AUCAGUGCAUCCCUGGUCCGUCAGUGUAUUCUUCGCUCGUCUGCAAUUUUGUAAUUAAAUAGAUUCAAAUCAGCGUUUUUGUAAGUGCACAUACAGAGUUCCGGACAUACGGACCAAUCAUGCUGGGCUCUUUGCUGUGGCUCUUUUUCGUCGGCCUGCUGCUGUGCGCGUUCCUGUUCUCAAAGACCACCAAGGAGUUCCCCAAGUCGUGGUUCGAAUGGAAGACGGAGUUCCGGUACCAGUACCUCGGCAUCGUGGGUCUCGUCCACGACGCUCAGUACGCGGCGCGGGAUCGAGUGGCACUUUAUAAGCAACCGGAUCGCAUUGCUGUCAUCACGGGAGGCAAUCGCGGCAUCGGACUGCGCAUCGUGGAGAAGCUGCUGGCCUGCGACAUGACUGUCGUCAUGGGUGUUCGUGAUCCUCGAAGCGCUGAAUCCGCCGUAGCAUCUAUAGUGGACCUCAAGACGACCAAGGGGAAGCUCAUCUGCGAGCAACUGGAUGUCGGGGACCUGAAAUCGGUGAAGGCCUUUGCCCAGCUCAUCAAGGAGCGGUACUCGAAAGUGGACUUGCUGCUGAACAAUGCCGGUAUCAUGUUCGCACCCUUCAAACUCACAGCCGAUGGCUACGAGUCGCACUUUGCCACCAACUUCCUGGGCCACUUCCUACUCACCCACCUGCUCCUGCCCCAAUUGAAAUUGGCGGGCAAGGAGGGAAAGAAUGCCAGAAUCGUCAACGUCAGCUCCUGCGUGAAUCUCAUUGGACGCAUCAACUACAAGGACAUCAACGGAACGAAACAUUACUACCCAGGAACCGCCUACAGCCAGUCGAAGCUUGCCCAGAUUCUGUUCACCCGCCAUCUGCAAACGCUGCUGGAUGCGGAGAAGUCGCACGUCCAGGUCAACGUAGUGCAUCCGGGCAUUGUGGACACGGAUCUCUUCGAGCACUCGGCCACCACAUCGGUGCCCAUCUUCAAGAAGCUCUUCUUCAAGACACCGGAGCGGGGAUCACGCACAGUGGUCUUCGCGGCCAUCGAUCCCUCCAUCGAGGGUCAGGGAGGCACUUACCUGAGCAACGGCGGCAAGGGUCCCUUCCAUCCGGACGCCAAGAAGCCUGCCAAGUGCGAGCAGCUCUUCCAGUUCUCCUCCGAUCUGCUGAAGAUUCAGCAGUACGGAAACGGCGAAUUCUAAUAGCAUUGUAAUACACGUCCUUUCACAUUCCCCCCUCUACUGGUGCAACGUACUCUUCUAGAUUCCAUAUGCAGCUGGUUUUCUGUGUCCGGAUCCUAGGAACUACUGAUGCUAAUCUGGCCGAAGUGCUGUGCUAAGUUUUAAUUAACUUGUCUUCGCUUGAUUGCCAUCGGGGGGCAGAGAAUGCAAUUAAAAGAGCAGCACAGAGCAGCAAGAAACAUUUUUAAAAUGCACUCGGCGGCAGCUUGAAAGGCGACAACAACAGCAACAGGCCAUAUUUGUUAUAUGUCA